UACGGGGGGUGCGAGCGUUGUCCGGAAUUACUGGGCGUAAAGAGUACGUAGGCGGUGAUUCAAGUCAGAGGUGAAAGCCUGGAGCUCAACUCCAGAACUGCCUUUGAAGCUAGGUCGCUAGAAUCAUGGAGAGGUUAGUGGAAUUCCGAGUGUAGAGGUGAAAUUCGUAGAUAUUCGGAAGAACACCAGUGGCGAAGGCGACUAACUGGACAUGUAUUGACGCUGAGGUACGAAAGCGUGGGGAGCAAACAGG
rnacentral:rRNA from 1 species